ACAACAGUUGGAAACGACUGCUAAUACCGCAUAAGCCCACAGGUCGGCAUCGACCAGAGGGAAAAGGAGCAAUCCGCUUUGAGAUGGCCUCGCGUCCGAUUAGCUAGUUGGUGAGGUAACGGCCCACCAAGGCAACGAUCGGUAGCCGGACUGAAAGGUUGAACGGCCACAUUGGGACUGAGACACGGCCCAGACUCCUACGGGAGGCAGCAGUGGGGAAUAUUGCACAAUGGGGGAAACCCUGAUGCAGCGACGCCGCGUGGAGGAAGAAGGUCUUCGGAUUGUAAACUCCUGUUGUUGAGGAAGAUAAUGACGGUACUCAACAAGGAAGUGACGGCUAACUACGUGCCAGCAGCCGCGGUAAAACGUAGGUCACAAGCGUUGUCCGGAAUUACUGGGUGUAAAGGGAGUGCAGGCGGGAAGACAAGUUGGAAGUGAAAUCUAUGGGCUCAACCCAUAAACUGCUUUCAAAACUGUUUUUCUUGAGUAGUGCAGAGGUAGGCGGAAUUCCCGGUGUAGCGGUGGAAUGCGUAGAUAUCGGGAGGAACACCAGUGGCGAAGGCGGCCUACUGGGCACCAACUGACGCUGAGGCUCGAAAGUGUGGGUAGCAAACAGGAUUAGAUACCCUGGUAGUCCACACCGUAAACGAUGAUUAAAAGGUGUUGGAGGAUUGACCCCUUCAGUGCCG
rnacentral:rRNA from 1 species